GAUGAACGCUGGCGGCGUGCUUAAUACAUGCAAGUCGAGCGAACGGACGAGAAGGUUUUUUUUCUGAUCUUAUCGGUUGACGGGUGAGUAACACAUGGGUAAGUUACCCAUAAGUCUCGGGUCACUUCCGGGAACCUGAGCUAUUACCGGGUAUUAUUUUAAACCGUAUGCUUCAAACAUCAAAUAAGGCCUUGCUGUCAACUAUAGAUGGAUCCGCGCUGCAUUAGCUAGUUUGUAAGGUAACGGCUUACCAAGGCAACGAUGCAUAGCCGACCUGAGAGGGUGAUCGGCCACACUGGAACUGAGACACGGUCCAGACUCCUACGGGAGGCAGCAGUAGGGAAUCUUCCGCGAUGGGCGAAAGCCUGACGGAGCAACGCCGCGUGAGUGAUGAAGGUCUUCGGAUCGUAAAACUCUGUUAUUAGGGAAGAACAUAUGUGUAAGUAACUGUGCACAUCUUGACGGUACCUAAUCAGAAAGCCACGGCUAACUACGUG
rnacentral:rRNA from 1 species